UCUGUGUUGCAUCGUUUCUCCACAGGAACCUUUGGCUGUUUUGGUCUUCUUUAUUAAUCAGGACCUGAUGGUACAUCUCCUGAAUGUCCGCUGCCAUAGCGACUUUGAAUUCUCUAAAACGGCAUAAUACGGACGUUAAUGGUGCUAAUAAAUCGGGACCGGUUAGUAGCAUUGAGUUCAGUGACACUCCAUUUACUGAUGCUGCUGCGUUCCAUACUAUACGCACUUUGCCCGGUUCAUUACGAUUAAUUACCGGGAAAAUAGGUAAGUACCACUUUCGAGGAUGUGCUGCCUUUAUCUCGUGAUCGGUAAGUUUUCUUACAUAACCCUUCGCUACGUGAUCGGCUAAUAUCUGGUUCAUUAUCAAUCGGAUGUGGGUCUCCUUUUCCAUUCGUCGUUCUAAACAGGUUAGUCGUUUCAUUGCCAUUGAGCGGUUGUUAGGUAAUGUCACAUCAUCGUAGCGCCAUAACAGCGCGGUAGUGUAUAUAUUAUUAACAAGUUUUGUUUUUUGCUUUAGGAUCAUCAUUGCUCGCUCUUCAUUUUUGGAAUGGGUACUCACGUGUUGUUUGUUAUACGGAUCAUCCAGUGCGAACCCUCCUUUAAGUGCGGCAUCAAUCUUCGUAUCGAUAUUUUAGCAAUCGCAUAGUUCAAUGCAGUGGGUGGCUACUACUUUUGCUGUGUUUGAUACUACCUGUGAAGAAAUACAUCCUGAAACUGUCCAUCCCAGGCGGGUCUUUGUGGCUAUGGGCUCAUUUACAGAUCCUUCAACAGUUUUUAGCGGCACGGUUAUGUGGUAAUUAUUCAUACCUAUCAGCAGUCUUGGUGGUGUCUCUCGGUACAACGCUAGCGGUAUUGAUGACAGAUGUUUGUAGUUUGCUCGUAGUUCCUUUUGCUCAACACGCUGCGCCGGCAAACCCAAUCGAUGUACGGUCCGCACAUCUAUCUCGUACACGUGGUCGUUACUCUUAAGUCCCGAUAUCCCAAUACUCACAUCCAUUGAUUUGUUUUCAUAGCGAUGUUGACCACCGGUCCACUUCAGGCAAAGUGGUUUCAGGAUUCCUGACGCACCAAGCUCUUCCAUCAGCGAGUGUUCGAUUAGCGAUACAGACGCGCCUUCGUCCAGUAGCGCGACGGUUUGUAUUCUUUUAUCUCCUGCAUGUAAUACGACCGGUACAUGCCUGAGGACCCAACAAGCAUUUCGAGCAGUUUUCGAGUGAAUUUAGGGAUCUCGCCCGAUUAGAUCUGGUACCAGCUGUCGCCGGCGACAUGACGACGGUGCAAAUGCAUGCGGUGAGUGACUGUGUUCGGCAAACCACGAGUGGGAGUGAACGUUUGUGCGGCCAUGAUCGCACACACGUUGUUUUUUUCAUUCUUCGUCUUUGUCACUGUCAAGGAUCGCUGCUGUCAGCCAUUUUGAUUGUUUUGGUUUUUGCGACGCUUCCUCAUCGCAUCAUUUCAAGUUGCGAUUUUAAUUAAGAAAAGUGUAGUUUAUUUAGUUAAUUUAAGUGAAAAAUGUUGUAGUGCUAUUAAUAAAUCUAGUGUGUAUUGCAAUUUAUCUUUUGCAAAUGUGGUAGUGUUUGUUGUUUUGAUUGUUUAUGUGUUUACUCCAGGUAAGUAUUGUGUAUUUUUUUCGUCAUUGAAGUGUUGUCUUCCGAAUGUUUUAGCUAAUUGUUAGGUGCGGCUGUGGAGCAUGUCUUUCCGGCUUCCUCUGUCCGGAUAAUACAUGAUGCCAUAGCACUGGAAUGAUCUAGCCAAACCACAAUAGUUUCGGAGUGCACUUUCAUUGCCGUGUCACCGAGAUGUAAGCUAGCAUCACCGUCAAUAUCGACAACGGAAACAACAACCAGAACCGGCGCGAUGGCAGCGAAAUAUCGUGGUGAUUGUUCUUCCGGAGGGCUUCCGAUGUGUCGAUGUGGCAAUAGAUGAAUAAACAUCAGUAACCUACUGCGUAACCUACUUCUCGUACUCUGGACUGGGCAUGAUGUGGCUUAAAACGGAAUAUAAUUCAGCUUGAAGUAAAUCGUUGGGCAACAAUCUUUCGGCACAUACGUUGAACACGUGUCAAUUAAAAGCGUUGAAACCAGUUGGAAGACAAUGAAGCAAAGCCAACGAGCUCACUGUGCUCCUCUCCGCAUCGUGCCGAACGGAUCGCUGACGAGCACCUUCCUGGUGGGGCAUGAGUCCGGCAUCCUCAUCACGUGCCCCAGCCAUCUUAUCCUUCCGGCUUUGAUAACCGUCAGGAUAUCUACACCGCCAAACAGCUCAGCUAGCUCGAGCUCAGCCCUGCUCGUACACACCGCCAAAGAUAGUCCGUUCGAAAAUAGCGAGUGCAUUGGCGUACUCCGUUAGCAUAGUCCACGACUCGUACCCGUAGAGGACUGCAUCAAUGUAUUAGGACGUAUUAGUGUGCGAUAUAACGUGCAUUUCGUCUGUUGCUGGAUCGUCGUCUGGAUCGCAGGAGGUUGUGGAGUCCGUAGUAGGCACGAUUUCCCUAAAAUGUGCGCCUUCGGAUUUCGUUGCUCAUGUUGUUGUCCGAUGUUACGAUCGUAUCAAGGUAGCAGUACUCCUCUACCACCUCGAGAUCGUCGCCGUCAACUGAUACUCUGCUUCCGAGUCGGGUUCUGUCACGAUCAGAGCUUCCGGAAAGCAGGUAUUUUGUCUUCGUCGCAUUGAUCCUCGAUCCAAUCCUAUCGGCCUCGCGUUUCAGUGGGGUGUACGCGCCGUAGAGCGAUAUUAAACAGUAAACAGGAGAUUCCUUGUCCUUGCCUCAGACCCCGGUGAGAUUCGAACGAUUCCCACAGCCUGUUCGAUACUCUCACCUUGCACUGCACCCCGUCCAUUGUGGCCUUCAACAGCCGUACCAGCUUCUCUGGUGUUCUCUGGUUUAAAUGUUAGCUCAGACUAAUUAGACUUCAGUUCAGACUGCGAUUAAGUUAUGUUUGUUUUUUUUUUUUUAAUUGUUGCUAGUUCAAUGUCUUUAAAUGAAUUAAAAUUAAUUUAUGUACAAAAUGUAAUACGAGCUUUGCUAGCGCUAUGAAUAUUUUUUUAAUUAAUUGAUAAUCACUUAUUUUAAUGAUAAUUAUUUUAUAAUAAUUAUAAUAAUUAAUUAUAAACAUGAUCAUAAUAACAGUAAUUAUUAUUAUAGUUAUAAUAAUUACAAUUAAUUUUCAAAUGUACGAAAAGCAUUUUGUAAAUUAACAUAUAAAUAAGGCUUACUAAUAUCUAAUCUAUUCCAUUAUUUUAUAAUAAUUAUGAUAAUUAAUUAUAAAUAUGAUCAUAAUUACUAUAAUUAUUAUUAUAAUUAUAAUAAUUAUAAUUAAUUUUCAAAUGUACGAAAAGCAUUUUGUAAAUUAACAUAUAAAUAAGGCUUACUAAUAGUUAUUGUUAACAAAUUUACUAACUGUUCUAAUUAUACAAGCGUUUAGUUGUAGGAUUAACUCAGUAAUAAGUGAAAUUGUAAAUAAAAUGUUUUAUUAACAUAAAUAAAAAUUAUUAAAAUUAAAUAAUUUAAAAUUUGAAUUUGAAAUCUCACGUGUAGAUACACCUUGACCACGAAUGAACCGGGCUGCGUGGAUCUCGCCCGAUUGACUUCCAUUCGGCCACUGUUCGACCAGAACUCAAAAUUCACUCGAAAACUGCUCGAAAUGCUUGUUGGGGAGUACGUCACUUGCUGCUGUGGUAGAAUGGGAGAAAUUAUUAAUUGCUUUACCUGGAGCCGAAGCGGGGUUAUGCAGCGUUGGAUGGUGUUUCGCUGUACAACUGUCCUUUCCACAGACACGGGUUUCUCGACACAGAUUGCGAUGCUUUUUUAAGCAGUGCUUACACCACGAUUUCUGUCGUACCAGGUUCCACCUUUCAGAUACACUCAUACCAUUGUAUGCGGCGCACUCAGCUGGGUGUCUGCAUCCUUGUUCACAGGCGCAUCGCUGAUCUGGUUUCGGGCCGGCAGACUGUUCCACGUGCAUGUUGACAUGCUUUCGAUGUUCGGUGCUGGGUGAGGGGUGCGUUACGAGCAGUGCCGCCUUUUUAAUUGUCUGCAACCAUUUUCCAAAAUCCUGCAACGUGUUUUGUGAGGUAGUUACACGAUGUAUGCCCCACUGCAAACGAACAAAGGGAGGAAGUCGAUCGACUAGUUCCUGCAUCAAAGGUCCAUCGAAUCGGUUUUCCACUUCACUUGACCUGAGCGUUGCGCAGAUUUCUUCCACUGAAAUAGCGAAAUCGACUAGCGUGUCCAACUUAUCGCC